CAACUCUCCCCGCGUCGCCGCCGCAAAUGGCGUCUCUGCUCCGCCUCCAGGCCCUCUUCUCCCUUAAGCUGGCCACUCCCCGCCGUCUCCCAUCCCAUCUCCGCUGUGCCGCAGCAGUUGCGUCUCCGCUCCCUCGCCGCCUCCCUGCUGCCGCCUCGAACGGCUCGCCGGAGCAGCGGGCCUCGGAAACGGAUUUGGAGUCGGGGUUGUAUCUAGUGGCGACACCCAUUGGGAAUCUCGAGGAUAUCACCUUGAGGGCAUUGCGUGUUCUGAAAUGUGCUCAUGUGAUACUCUCUGAAGACACAAGGCAUUCUGGAAAGUUACUUCAGCAUUACAACAUCAAAACACCUCUUCUCAGCUUCCAUAAGUUCAACGAACGCGAGAGAGAGCCCAUUAUCUUAAAGAGGCUCCAUGAAGGGGAAGCAAUUGCAGUGAUUAGUGAUGCUGGUACGCCAGGCAUCAGUGACCCUGGCAUGGAGCUGGCUAGACUAUGCGCGACUGAAAAAAUCCCUGUUAUUCCCAUUCCUGGGCCUUCUGCAGCAAUUGCUGCUCUUUCUGCAUCGGGUUUGCCAACAGAGGAAUUCACAUUUGGUAAAAUACGUCAAUACUGUACUCUUCAUUUAUCAAUUGUAAUCAUUCUUUCGAUUCAGUAAAAAGGACAGACCCAGUGCUAGAAGCUCCCACACCAAAUGGGGUCUGGGGAAGGAUUAUACGAGGCAAGCCUUACCCCUGCACAGUGCAAUGCAGAGAGGCCGCGUCGACCCCAGGACCUCUUGGCACAAGUGGGGAGUACUUCACCACUGCGCUAGGCCUGUCCUUCAUUCUUUCGAUUCAGUACUGAUUUUUAUUUCUAGUGGGUUUCUUACCAAAGCAUGGUCGAUCAAGAAACGCCAGGCUUGAGGUAUCUGCUCGUGAGGCUGUGACACAAAUAUUCUAUGUUCCUCCUCAUGGAAUUCAUCAGUUUCUUCUUGAUGCUGCUUCAUCUUUUGGCGAUUCAAGGUCAUGUGUUAUUGCAAGGGAGAUUACCAAAUUGCAUGAAGAGUUCUGGCGAGGAACCCUAGGCGAAGCAAAUGAAGCCUUUGCAACUCGGCAGCCAAAGGGAGAAAUCACCAUCCUCAUAGAUGGGAACUCAAUUUCAAUUGAUGAAACACCAUCUGAUGAUUUUCUUGAGCAGGAACUCAGAGAAUUGAUGGCGAAAGGGCAUGCUCUUUCAACGGCGGUGAAAUUGGUGGCCGAAGCUACAUCAGCAAAGAAGAAAGAUGUUUAUGCACUAGCACUGAGGGUGUUUGGAAAAUGAGUAAAAUGCAAUCCAUUUGCUCACGUCUGGGCAUGCUAACAUCUUCACCGUGGUACUUUCUAGACCAUAUUCCAAUUAUUAUCAUUCUGUUUGAACAUGUUGGGUAGCAUAUUGCUCUUGUGCAUCAUGCGGAGCCACAUUAGGAAUGUCCAUGGUCGAUGUUUGCAUCAACAUGGGAAUGUCAGCUAUUUCGUCAAGAUUGCUGGAGAACUAUAUCACUUUUCGUCGUUGGUUCUUCCCAGUACGGUGCUCAUAUGGAACAGCCAUAUUUACCAUUCAAAUAGUUUCUCGGCCAUACAGCAUGGCCAAGAGGUUGCGGCCCAUCAAAGUAGCCCGUUUCAUCGAUUUAGAAUCAGCUAGAGAUGUAUUAGAAAUUUGUAAUUGUUGAAGUUUUCUUUCCUCCUUUUCUAAUUGCUAUAGUUUGGUGUCAAAUGGAUUGUUGAUCCUUAAAUGACAUUUGUUUUCUUCCGAAAAGGAGGUUGAAACCCCUCGCCUAUGCAUAUAA
rnacentral:rRNA from 1 species